AAUUAUCUAGGCAGUGAGUUAUCCCAAUUGAUUGUUCAGGAUCAGUUACAGAUCAUACUCCUUGCUCUACUUCCCCCCCCCCCUCACUACUGCAGUUGAGUAGUAUUAA
rnacentral:sRNA from 1 species